GCCGACGUCGCAUAGCUUGGUAUUGCACCAGAGUAUUAGUUACGGCUAAUAAGGUGAUUCUCGAAAACUGGCGUCCGAAAGGACUUGCAGGUUCAAAUCCUGCCGUCGGCG
rnacentral:tRNA from 1 species